rnacentral:rRNA from 1 species
GAUUAUCGGUAUAGGAUGGGGAUGCGUCUGAUUAGCUUGUUGGUGAGGUAACGGCUCACCCAAGGCCACGAUCCAGUAGGGGUUCUGACGAGGAAGGUCCCCCACAUUGGAACUGAGACACGGUCCAAACUCCUACGGGAGGCAGCAGUGAGGAAUAUUGGUCAAUGGACGAGAGUCUGAACCAGCCAAGUAGCGUGCAGGAUGACGGCCCUAUGGGUUGUAAACUGCUUUUGUUUGGGAAUAAUCGACAUUACGUGUAAUGUUUUGCAUGUACCAUUCGAAUAAGGACCGGCUAAUUCCGUGCCAGCAGCCGCGGUAAU